rnacentral:ribozyme from 1 species
UUUUUUUUUUUUUUUUUUUUUUUUUUUUUUUUUUUUUUUUUGAGAUUUGACAAAACCACCGCUGCAAGUCUGAAAAUC